UGAGCAGAAAGAUCUUAUUUCUAAUUUCUGUUUUACUCCUGAAGCCUUGAACAGUUCUCUUCCAUCUCCAGGCCUCAGUUUCCCUCAGAAGUGUGAGGGGUUUGGGUGAGGGGAUUGCAGAACUUUCAGUUUUGACUAAAGCUCUCUAAUUCCCCUUGGGAAUUUAACUUUACUUUCCCCUCCUGUGUGUCACAAAUGGAUGAAAUUAUAACAACCUAGAACUGAAAUAACUGUAGGUCAGCUCAGGACGAUAAGGAAACCUUUAACCUCUGAAGUGGAAAACUGCUAGUAACAAGCUACCCAUUUGUAAAAAAAAAAAAAAAGAAAGUUAAAAAUAAAAAUAGGGUCCUUAAUGUUCAUCUCUCGCCCACAGAGGGGGAUACAGACACCUGGGGAGGGCUGAGAAGGCGGGAGCUUCUGGACAAUGUUUGUCUCAAGUGAAAGGCAGGCAGAAGAACAUCCUUCGUGUCAGGCCCUGCCGGGAUCACCUUCUUGGCAGUGCUGUGAUUUGUUUCCUACAGUCCUCGGGAUUGUCCGAGGGGAUUCCAGAAGCUUCACGUGAGCAGGACACCGGCAGCUGUGUCUCUCAUCUGUGCUGCUGGCAGGCUAGAUGCUCCUUUGAACAGCAUCACUUAAGUUGUUGGAGAAAACCUGAGUUCUGCACAGCGACCAGGAGAGGGAGAGGAGCUCUCCAGAGACCCGCGACUUGGGGAGUCUCGAAGGUUUGAGUAACAAAGUGAACCAGUGCGCCUAGACCAGGUCCACGAUUCCUCCGUGCCUGCCACAGACUCAUGACUGUGCGUGAACAAGGAUCACUGUUCUAUAGCAAUAGGAGAAAAAUAAUGCCAAUAUGAUGACUUUUGUAAAGCUAAUGUUACUUGAGGAACUGUUCUUUGUCUUUUAGCUGAGAACCUUGAUACUUUUUAAUAUGAAGAUGUUUCCCCUUAUAAAAGAUGGUGAAGGGCUGGUAGAUUGGUUUUUAAAGUAUACCCACCUAACAAUCCUGAGUCCAUCUUCUGUUAUUAAAAAAUUAGUUUUACUAAAUAAGACACACAUGUGUAAAUACAGAAUAGUUUCUCUAGUGUGAGAAACUGAAAGUGUAAAUAAGGAUUAAAAUGAUUAAAACGAGUAAUUGAUAACUUGAAAUAGGAAGAAAAAGUCCAAAGGGGUAGGGGUGGUCUGAGGGGAAGGGGAGAGGAAAGAAGGGAAAGGAAAAAUUAUGAGAAAAGAAAAAAUGGAAACAAAGCCUUUGUAAAUAGGGAAGGGUAGAGGGGGUGAAGGGCACACAGGUAAUGGGGAAAAAAUGAGAACCAAGAUACAUCAUGUACAGGUACAAGCACCCGAUGAUAAAUGUAAAUGUAUUGUAUACCUAAAAUGUACCAAUAAAAGAAUUUAAAAGAAAAAAAAUUAU
rnacentral:lncRNA from 1 species